CCCAGACUCCAGGGUGCGCCGGCUGGGCCGGACCACGUCGGGACAGGCGGGGCCCAGCACUGCGUCGCCCUGAGCGGGGCGGGGCCUAGUGGGGAGUCCCUCCAAGGCUGGGGCAGGAACGGCUCCGGAGAAAAGUUUGCUGAGCUCCGAUAGCUUCUCUUUGAGUAGUCCAGUGUGUGAGAGGGACGCCUGGGUGGCUCACUCAGUUAAGUGACCGACUUCAGCUCAGAUCAUGAUCUCAC